ensembl:snoRNA SNORD18 Small nucleolar RNA SNORD18
CUGAGAUGAUGAAAUUCCACUUCAUUGGUCCGUGUUUUUGAGCUCUGUGAUAUCAGUGGAAGUUCUGAUGUU